CCAAAAGCUAUGUGAAAUUGCAGGUAGUUAUUGUAAAAUGGUAGAAGGAAAAAUGGAUUUGUGAUACUUUUUAUUGGAAAACCAAAAAGGUUCAAGGAAUAAUGUUGCUGUAGUUGCAGUACAUCUCUACAAUAAGAGGUUUUGUACAGCUCUGGUCAGCAUUACUGUAACUGAUCAUGGGUGAGUUGUUCAUAGCUGUGGGGUCUACUGCACCAGCCUGUGCCCCAAUCCUCAUCAUUCCAUGCCUGCAGUCCUCCGCUCUGCAACCUGUGUCCCCACUUCUCAAGGUCUGCGUAACGAUGCAGACUGCAUCAUUAUGAUUAUAGGUCUCAGUGGGUUGUUCUUCUGAAGCAUUUUUGGGGCAGUAAUAGACAUGCUGAAAAAGGCAAUUGAGACACUGCUUAUGUGCAGCCCUAAAGAUCUCUGACCAAUAACCUGAACAAAGAACAGAAGUUGAUUGACUGUAUGUGACUUUGGAAAUACUUGCUAUGGGCUAAGAGUGUCCAUUUAAACAUGUCUGUAUAAGCAGAUACAGGCACUUAUGUACCAGCUCUUCCAACAUUCUGGGUUGGCCAGUCACGAAUCAUCUCUGGACCAGGUGCUGUCUAACUUAAUUUGAGAGAGGCUGUAUCUCAUUCUAAAGUAUCAAACUUCUACUUGUAUAGAUGAUGUACCAAUAUUUUCACUAUUCUUGUCAGGUGACAAAACCUGAUCAUUCCCCUUUACAGAUGAUGGUCUGAGGAGAAUGACUUGCUUGGACAUCACACAGAAAAACUGUGAAGACAAACUGUGUUUAUUUCCUAAAGUGUGGGCUAACACAAUGGCCAUUAAACAACUACAUCUAUUCUUUACUUGA